rnacentral:tRNA from 1 species
CCCAGUAGCUGAGUGGAUAACGCGAUGGCAUUUGAAGCCAAUGGUACUGGAUUCGAGUCCCAGAGUG